AACCGCUCUGAAUUUCCCACCAAUCCCCUUCUCCGCAUGGCCUAUAGGCACCCCUGUGCAAAGCCCAUAUCGUCAAGGCUGGCUGCCCUGACAUCUUUGCAUCCACGAUCCCUUGUGAUUGGAUACAAGGGUUCGUUGGCCAUCAUCAGAAAGGCCUCGGCGGGAUGGCUUGACUACAGCGAACACAGUUGCAGGACUUGAGAUCGUGGCUGCCUGCCUUACUUGCCUGCAGCGUGUUUUAAUUUUCGACGUUCAUUUGUUCCGACUAGACACGAACUACGGAUAUCAAGCCUCGAACCUCUCUGUUUUGUCUGGGAAAUUUUGUGGCUGUUAUAGCGCUGUCGAUAACCUUGGCUAUUCCCCGCCGAGCGUUUGAAACGCCUUGUCAUCCAAGUUUUUAGGGUUCAUUGGUGUGGGGUAGGUAUGGAGAAUGAGGAGAACAAGUGUCAGAAAUGAUAUAUCAUAUCGAGGAUUCUGUUGAUUGUACGGAGUACUAAGCAAAGAUCUUGUUAAUAUCUUGCUACUUGAAACUGAAUCACUACUCCAGUGUAUACCAGCACUGUCUCUAUCAUUAUGUUCAAGCAUUCUUUUUCUUAUAAAUACUGCCUGAUUAUCAUGUAAUUAAUUAUUGGAGUU
rnacentral:sRNA from 1 species